rnacentral:lncRNA from 12 species
GACAGGAGCCCCUGACACCAGGUCUUCAUCCAGGGAUGCUGGGUCCUUGGAUCCUGCAUAAAUGGGAACUCUCAUCUAAAGGGAUAGGAGCACAUGAGGUCUUGUGCUGACUGAACAGAGAACAUACAAGGACAUGAUGAUUUCUGUGUUGUAAGGAUAUUUUCCUCUGUAACCCUGAGCUCUUAGAGCACAGCCAGAAUCUAUCCAGACUGACUCAGAAGCAAAGUCUGAAAUCAAGGAAAACAAGGAGGCUGAGGGAAUCCACUGAGGAGAGCAGAAGAACCCCUCUAAUGCAGAGAAAGGCUAGUUCAGGAACUGUAGAGAAAUGACCUGAUGACAAGUGGAGGGAUAUAGAACAUAGAGCAGAGGGCAGGCUGGAUGGGAGUCUCCAGCUGCUCACCAUGUGCUUCCUUUCCCCCCAGGAGUAGCUGACACCGUGAGUCCACCCCACAACAUGUCAGACUCCAACAGUGCCUCUGACUCCAAUGAUUACACAGUAGAGCAUCUCAUCUCCAUGGAUGUGGCUGCCUUCAUCGUCAUGGUCCUUGGCAUUCUGCAACUAGAGGCUCAGCACAGCCAGAGAAGGAACCCAAGUGCAGCCAGGAGAUAAACACAGGGAACAAACCCACCUUUCCUGCGGCAGAACUUUGGACAUGAAAGUAGUGUGCCCAGGGGGAUCUGGAAGAGAGCAUGAAGCUCCUGCUAGCUGAGCUCUCUGCUGAGAACACAGAGAGGGAAACAUGGUUUAGAAGCCAGGAAGUGUCUGGGCUGUUCCCUGUCCAGGACUCAUCUUCCAUGAUGUGUGAUGCUGUCCCUCCUGCAAUUGUUGGACGUUCUUGACUUCCCCCAGUCUUUCCUCAUCCCUGUGACAUGAGGGUAUGUCCCACACAGCAGCUUUUGGUUCAUACCUUCCUAUAGCAGCAUCUUCUGUUCCUAUGCGUGGCAUACAUUUUCCUUUCCUUCCCAUUUCCACAUUCCCUGAUGGGUGCUAUUGACUUCCAUCCCUGCAGCCCAAAUAACAAAAUCUGUCUUCAGAAGUAAAUACUUGGGUGAAUAUUAUGUCCACAUUGGAAAAAAGAAUCCAAAACCACUCCCUAAAUCCUCUCUGGAUUCAUAGAACUCUUCUCUCCUCAUCAGGUGAUACCUGGAAGUUUUUCCAGAAAUACCAUCAGUUUGAGUGAAUUCAGGGGCAUUUGAAGUGAUACCCUGGUAGUGAGCUUCUAUACUGGCUCUAAGAAUUCAUCAUUUUUAAACAGAUAUCAUUCAUGACAUUUGCCUAUUUCUUUGAUGUAAACACUCCCGUCAUGACCAACAUCAACGUGUCAAGUGAAGGCACUGUGUGCCCAGGAGGGAUGUCAUGGAUUCAUCAUCUUUCAUGAGUGUGUUCCAUCGGCUGGCACAUCUCACCUGUGAUCUCAACCUGUACUUGUGCUUCCUUCUAUUUUAAAG